GGCUGGUCCCGGUCGGGACAUGCAGCGGCCGCGGUGUCCCCCUCCCGGGGAGACCCCUACUCACCGCUUGCCAGCCCCGACCUCCCUGGCUCAACCGCCACCCCCGGCUGUCCCCGCGCACGCGCGCGGCCAACCCGCCCCACGUACGGCGCGUGCUCUGUCUCCGCCUCGCACACGCUUACGUAGCCUGAACGCUCCGGGCGCAGUUCCACGCGAGUGAUGACGUCACUGCCAGCGGUUCGCCCCCUGUGGGGCCGCUGUGCCGCGUGCGGACCUGACUCCCCGCGGCCAGGGAGCACGAGCCUGCAGCCUGGCCGUGGGUUAGUCACGUCACCCGCUGCAUCAGCCGGUGUUGCUUGGUGCCCUGCUAGAGUAGCGACCCUGCAGGCCGCCGUGUAUGGACCGUACGGACCGCCGUGGAUUACGCGCCCCUUGUAUUGGCCUGUGCCGCCUGCACAGUGCCUUGCCCUGCACAGAUUUUGAGCUGCAGCCCGGGCAGGAGUCAGACUCUCAGCACCACUAUUUAACAGCUCCCGUAGGCAGGGCCGGAUUAACUUUUUAUGGGCCCGGCUCCAAACAUAUUUGUGGGCCCCCCGGGGAAUGAUUAUAAAAGGGGCCGGGGGCAAAAGCACACUGGGGCGGGAGCUAGGGUUGGUCCCUGGAGCAAGGGAGUGGCCAGGGGUAAACUGCGAGCGCAGCAGGGCUGGUGAGGGGGUAAACAAUCCCCGCCCCUGCCCACAUAGAGCGGGUACCUACUUUCUUCCUGGUUCUAGCCCAUUCUCUUCAUCUCUCUCUGUACUGAGCUGUCCUUCCUCCAGUGUGACAAAGUGGGAAUGUUCUUAAUGUUUUCUCUGAAUACUGUGUGGGUGCCUCAGUUUCCCCAUGCAUUUCUUAAGUAUCUAGGUGGUGGGAUAAGUGUGUGUAAUUGUUGCAAAGACCCUAGGCUGUCUGCACAGAGAAUGGCUGACACCCUGUCUCCUGGCAACUGAUGGCCUGGGCCUCCCCUGCAAGGUGCCAACCGAAGGUGUUGGAGAACAAAGAGAUCAGGUGGCCUCCUGGACCCCGGGAAGAGACAAAGGACAGAGGAGGAGCUGGAGGGGGUUGCAGUUUGGAGCUGGCGGUAGCCAUGCAUGGUGUUUUGGGUUUGCACAGAGCCUACAGCCUAUGCAUGGGUCAGAGACUCCCUUGCUCUAGCUCCCAAAGUCUUCACACUGUUCUGGGAUAGCAUCCAUUGGAGACCCAAAGCAGUAAUAUUUUGUGAGGCCCCCCAUACACAAUGCCAUAAUAAAAAGUGAAUGGGGGGCUCCCUUUUGCUGCUUGGGGGCCUCAGCAAUUGCUUAGUCUACUUAUGCCUAGUGCCAGCUCUGGAUUGCAUAGAUUUUGCAGCUUUCUAACUCUGACCCUUUUUGUUUCUUCCUUUUGCACACUUCUCCAUUUUUCAUAUGUGAUGUAACUAACACACAAUAACAGUAAUACUUUUUACUGUGGUGAUGAACCAUGAAGAAGAGUGUGAGUAAUUUGUUGUUGCUGGACUGCAGUUUUUUUUAUUUAUGAAUUAAACCAGUGUCUGGAAUGUUGAGAGCAUAAUGCUGGCAGGGAGCUGUUAUCUGGAUGACAUGCUUAACCCUUUGGAUACCUCUGGAUUUACCAUGGGAACAUUUUAAGAUGACAAAUACACAAUCUGCAUACAUGGCUCAACUCUAACCUGGAGUUACUUCUGUGGGGUGUGACAGAAGUUUGGUUUCCAUAGGGUUAUACAAGAUCAGAUCCAGUGAUUCAUCUAGUUCGAUAUCCUGUUAAUGACAUUACAAUCUGGGAGCAUUAUAAUUCUGUUGGCAAGUUAAUGAUAGAAGGUAAGGGUGGUGUCAUCUGAUUUGUAAAAAUCUACAGAAUCAUUAUUUCAAUGGUGCCACCCUCUGCAGCAUAGCAAAGGGGACUCAAUCCCUGCCUCCACCACACAUUCCCAGCUUCAGACCCUCUGGGUAGAGGAAAUGUUGAUAUAAUGUGAUUGGAAGUAGGUUGAGUUGGGUAUAAUUUUGAAAGCCCUUUCUCCCAUGAACAUAAUGGUACCAAAUGUGACAAACCCAGAACAAUCAUGUACAUAUAUAUUUGAGAAAAAGUUUAAAAAACAGUGUUUUUUAAUUAUACUUUAACACAAGUAUGUCAUACAUGCAGCCCUCACAUAAUUAAACUAUGACCAUCAACUGACAGUGCUGUGUUAUUAGUUAAUUCUCCGAAUAUGAUAGCUGAUUAAUUUUUUUAAUGUUACAGAUUACUAUGCAUGGAAGGAGUCCUUCAACUUGAUUUGCCGUCAUCAGUAAAAAAGAAGAGGUUCUGUGGUAUUGAUUAUCAGCUCUGUUUGUUACACCAAAAGAGUUGUAAUGAGGCACUGGUUAUGAUGUCCGCAUGCAGCCAGAAGUUACUGGAAUCCAUCCACAAACGGCAUCAAUGGAGAGACAAAGAGUACUGACUAGUAAAUGAAUCUUUGGAGAAUACUAGCGUGGAGGACCUGGUUAAACACAAUGCUUGGGGCUGUAAUUAAUGCAUCCAAACACUGAAUUGACAAGGUUGGAGAAGAAGUACAUUGAGCACCAGGAAAAAGUUGAAGAUGCUGGGACAAGUGCCAGCUGUGGAUAUUAUGGCACACACGGCAAGCAGCAAUAACAGUAGGAAUGUUGGCUGCGCUGAGGUCU